UGGGGAAUAUUGCACAAUGGAGGAAACUCUGAUGCAGCAACGCCGCGUGGAGGAUGACGCAUUUCGGUGUGUAAACUCCUUUUAUAAGGGAAGAUAAUGACGGUACCUUAUGAAUAAGCACCGGCUAACUCCGUGCCAGCAGCCGGGGUAAUACGGAGGGUGCAAGCGUUACUCGGAAUCACUGGGCGUAAAGGGUGCGUAGGCUGGAAAUCAAGUCGAAAGUGAAAUCCAACGGCUCAACCGUUGAACUGCUGUCGAAACUGGUUACCUAGAAUAUGGGAGAGGUAGAUGGAAUUAGUGGUGUAGGGGUAAAAUCCGUAGAUAUCAGUAGGAAUACCGAUUGCGAAGGCGAUCUACUGGAACAUUAUUGACGCUGAGGCAUGAAAGCGUGGGGAGCAAACA
rnacentral:rRNA from 1 species